rnacentral:rRNA from 1 species
AUUUGGAAACAGAUGCUAAUACCGGAUAAAAAGCUACUUUCGCAUGAAAGAGUUUAAAAAGGCGGCGUAAGCUGUCGCUAAAAGGAUGGACCUGCGAUGCAUUAGCUAGUUGGUAAGGUAACGGCUUACCAAGGCGAUGAUGCAUAGCCGAGUUGAGAGACUGAUCGGCCACAUUGGGACUGAGACACGGCCCAAACUCCUACGGGAGGCAGCAGUAGGGAAUCUUCCACAAUGGACGCAAGUCUGAUGGAGCAACGCCGCGUGAGUGAAGAAGGUUUUCGGAUCGUAAAGCUCUGUUGUUGGUGAAGAAGGAUAGAGGUAGUAACUGGCCUUUAUUUGACGGUAAUCAGCCAGAAAGUCACGGCUAACUACGUGCCAGCAGCCGCGGUAAAU